rfam:Triticum aestivum genome assembly, contig: Triticum_aestivum_CS42_TGACv1_scaffold_135474_2BL
AUUCUACUCCCUCCAUUGCACAAUACAUGCCUUCUAUUUGUCAAAAUUUAUAUGUAUCUAGACAUGUUUUAGUAUAUAGGUACAUCCAUUUUUGGACAAAUGGAAGUCAAGUAUUUUGGAACGGAGGGAGUACACA